rnacentral:tRNA from 1 species
GAGGCAUAGCUCAGCCGGUUAGAGCGCCUGCUCCACACGCAGGAGGUCACAGGUUCGAAUCCUGUUGUCUCC